rnacentral:rRNA from 1 species
AACGAACGCUGGCGGCGUGCCUAACACAUGCAAGUCGAGCGAGAAAGCCCGCAAGGGUGAGUACAGCGGCGCACGGGUGCGUAACACGUGAGUAAUCUGCCCUGGAGCCCGGAAUAACCUCCCGAAAGGGAAGCUAAUGCCGGAUGAGCCCACGGGGUCCUUGGACUCUGAGGGAAAAGGCGGCCUCUGUAUACAAGCUGUCACUUCAGGAUGAGCUCGCGGCCCAUCAGCUAGUUGGCGGGGUAAUGGCCCACCAAGGCUACGACGGGUAGCUGGUCUGAGAGGACGAUCAGCCACACUGGAACUGAGACACGGUCCAGACUCCUACGGGAGGCAGCAGUGGGGAAUCUUGCGCAAUGGGCGAAAGCCUGACGCAGCAACGCCGCGUGUGUGAUGAAGGUCUUCGGAUCGUAAAGCACUGUCGCGAGGGACGAAUAAGGGCCGGGUGAACAAUCCGGUCUGAUGACGGUACCUCGAGAGGAAGCACCGGCUAACUCUGUGCCAGCAGCCGCGGUAAUACAGAGGGUGCAAGCGUUGUUCGGAAUUAUUGGGCGUAAAGCGCGUGUAGGCGGCCUGGCAAGUUGGGUGUGAAAGCCCUCGGCUUAACCGAGGAAGUGCGCCCAAAACUACGAGGCUUGAGUACCGGAGAGGGUGGCGGAAUUCCCGGUGUAGAGGUGAAAUUCGUAGAUAUCGGGAGGAACACCAGUGGCGAAGGCGGCCACCUGGACGGAUACUGACGCUGAGACGCGAAAGCGUGGGGAGCAAACAGGAUUAGAUACCCUGGUAGUCCACGCCGUAAACGAUGAGCGCUAGGUGUUGUGGGUGUUGACCCCUGCAGUGCCGCAGCUAACGCAUUAAGCGCUCCGCCUGGGAAGUACGGCCGCAAGGCUA